rnacentral:sRNA from 1 species
GCACUGGAAUAACAGCUGUCUUCAUC